GCGCCUUUAGCUCAGUCGGUAGAGCAGCGGACUUUUAAUCCGUUGGUCCCGGGUUCGAGUCCCGGAGGGCGCA
rnacentral:tRNA from 1 species